GAUUUUCUGUCUACAAAAUUGAAUUUAACAAUCCUUUUAUGUUGUACAGACAUAAUUUUUCCACUGCGAUAGGCAUUCCAACUUUGAGAUCAAGUGUUCAUUUUAUGAACUGAGUCUUUGUUUGCGAGCUGAAGUGGACUUCGUCAUCUUCUGAUGUUGUACGAUCAUGGUUGACUCUGUUGAGUAUCUUCAUAAUGUGAACAGGCAAAGUGACUUAACG
rnacentral:lncRNA from 1 species